rnacentral:RNase_P_RNA from 1 species
UAACCGCCUAAGGGUCGCAAGACCCCGGCAAGGGUGAAAAGGUGCGGUAAGAGCGCACCGCGCGGGUGGCAACACUUCGCGGCUUAGGUAAACCCCACCCGGAGCAAGACCAAAUAGGGAAGCAGCAUUCCGCAAGGAAGGCACCGUCGCCCCGCGGGCUUCCGGGUAGGUCGCUUGAGGUCGUUGGUGACAACGAUCCCAGAGGAAUGAUUGUCCACGACAGAACCCGGCUUAUCGGCCGACUCGCUCU